rnacentral:rRNA from 1 species
UACGUAGGGGCCGAGCGUUGUCCGGAGUUAUUGGGCGUAAAGCGCGCGCAGGCGGCUUCGCGCGCCCGCCGUGAAAGCCCCCGGCUUAACCGGGGAGAGUCGGUGGGGACGGCGGAGCUUGAGGGCGGGAGAGGUCGGUGGAAUUCCCGGUGUAGUGGUGAAAUGCGUAGAGAUCGGGAGGAACACCUGUGGCGAAGGCGGCCGACUGGGCCGACCCGUGACGCUGAGGCGCGAAGGCGUGGGGA